CACCCCAGCAAUGGGCAAAGAGACACCUUGUUGGUGGUAUUGUUCGUGUAUCAGUCAGUGGCAGAGCAGAUGGCAGUCCUCUGUUCAUCCUACCUUGAUGCCUGGUUUGGUGGUCAAAGCUGUUUUAUGCUUAGGGCAUGUUG